rnacentral:lncRNA from 1 species
GGGAACAAAAGAAAAAGACUUGAGAACCCACCACCACUUUCUUUCUUCUCUACUUGGCCCUUUAUUUGUGAAUGAAUUCCACCUAAUUGGGAAUAGUAACAUCCUUAUAUCAUCUACUAUACAUUUUUGCAGCAGUUUUUGGGGUACCCAAAUCGGGUCAAAUUUGUUUAAUUUUGACCCGGAAAUCUUCAAUCGGAUCUUUCUUUAAAUUUUGGCAAAAUUAAAAAACGAAAAUAAUUAAUAAAAUCUAAAAUAUAUAUACUUUCUCAACUAAUUACUAUAUUUAAACGCUUUAUUUAUGGUAUAUUCUCUACGAUUUUUAUAGAUAAAGAAAUCAAAUAUGAUGAUUUAAUGCUAAUAUAACAAAUUUGCACUAAUUUCCUAAAACAUCUCUACCUAAUUUAAACAUAAAUAUAUGAUUCUUAUUUCACUUUUAUUUGAUCUUAUAUUUAUAUUAUUUUAAAUUAUUAUAAAAUAUAUAAAUAGUUAGUAAAUUUUAGUUUUUUUUUUCUGCAUAUGUUACAAUUCAAAUUUUUAAAAACGGACAUAUAUUACUCAAUCGAUGAAUAAAAAUAUGUGUGUAAUCUAUAUUAACAUUUUUAAGAACAAAUUGAGCAUUUAAUCAUGUCGUUAUUUUAUUCAGACCCGAAAUUGAGUCAUUCGGAUCUUUCUUUAAUUUUUACAAUUAUCUAAAAUGGGACAGUAAAUCACGGGUGAAAUCCUAAUUAGUAUUUUAAGAUACAAUUAUAAAUUGUUUUUACGGGUUGGUCCAAAAACACACACUAAUUUAAAAAUAUACAUGGAAACUAUUUAAAAGCAACUUUCAAAUUAACUCGAAUUAUAUGACAUUUAAAUAAAAGUGUUAUUAAAAAAAUAACAAAAUGAUGUUUAAUUUCAUUUUAGAUUAUAUGGUUGGACGGGUUUGGGUCAAUAUUAAUACGAGACAAUAUACCACAGGUGAAAUCCUAUAAAUAACAAAUCAAAAUACAAUUAUACAAUCUUAAACACUAAACAAAACAAAUACAACUUAAAAUUUUUUAUUUUAGAUACAACGCAUGUGACCCGCGGUAUACAACAAAAAAAUAUUAUACACACUUUCUUCUCUACUUGGCCCUUUAUUUGUGAAUGAAUUCCACCUAAUUGGGAAUAGUAACAUCCUUAUAUCAUUUAUAUAAUAAACAAACAAACAAAAUUUAUAACUUGAUGUAAUAACUGAGUAAUUUUCCUAGUAUUAUGUGGCAAGUAAUCUCCAUUUCGAUUGGGUGUAAUAAUAUCAUUAUAUUAAUAGUGAAAGGUAUGACUUUAUUUUUAUUCAUGUAUAGCAACAAAAUAGAAGAAAAGAAAGGUAUUUGGUAAAGAGCGAUAAUGAAACAUGUGUUGGAGAGAGGAGAUGAGUUGGCUUGUGGCUGUCUUGUGAGAUAUUAUUAUGAAUCGAGACCCAAUUACAACACAAAGCUUAAAGAAAGCUGUCUGACUUUUUCUAUGUGAUCAUCAUUCAUCAAUUCAAUCGGUG